rnacentral:rRNA from 1 species
AUGGGGAAGACGAAGACUUGCUCCAGCCACAUGCCACUGCCCCGUGCUCGCCUUGCUCCUCGAGCUGGCGGGCUGAUGAUGGAGGACCUGCACUCUUGGCUCCACCGGCGCCGCCGCUACCACUUCUGCUUCUGCUCCCCGCUUGCACACAGCGCAGCGAUUGGAGGAGCAAUGGAGUACUGCAGAGGAACGGAUGCUGCUUCCGUUGGUGCAGCUUGUAUGGCAGUCCCGAAGGAGAUGGCAACUGGAGAAGAGGAGCUUAACGGCGUUCUAAUCGUCGGCGGCGGAAUCUGUGGCCUCGCAACUGCGCUUGCUCUUCACAUGUACUUGCUCCGUUUUAAAAUAGAUGACCCAACUUUAUAUUAA